CCUACGGGGGGCAGCAGUGGGGAAUAUUGGGCAAUGGGCGCAAGCCUGACCCAGCAACGCCGCGUGAAGGAAGAAGGCCCUCGGGUUGUAAACUUCUUUUGUCAGGGACGAAGCAAGUGACGGUACCUGACGAAUAAGCCACGGCUAACUACGUGCCAGCAGCCGCGGUAAUACGUAGGUGGCAAGCGUUAUCCGGAUUUACUGGGUGUAAAGGGCGUGUAGGCGGGGAAGCAAGUCAGAUGUGAAAUUCCAGGGCUCAACCCUGGAACUGCAUUUGAAACUGCUUUUCUUGAGUACUGGAGAGGCAGACGGAAUUCCUAGUGUAGCGGUGAAAUGCGUAGAUAUUAGGAGGAACACCAGUGGCGAAGGCGGUCUGCUGGACAGCAACUGACGCUGAGGCGCGAAAGCGUGGGGAGCAAACAGGAUUAGAUACCCGUGUAGUC
rnacentral:rRNA from 1 species